GAUGAACGCUAGCGGCAGGCCUUACACAUGCAAGUCGAGGGGCAGCGCAAAGAUAGUUUACUAUUUUGGCGGCGACCGGCGCACGGGUGAGUAACGCGUAUGCAACCUACCUUAUACAGGAGUAUAGCCCGAAGAAAUUCGGAUUAAUCCUCCAUAGUAUUCUUUAAUGGCAUCAUUUGAAGAAUUAAAGCUUCGGCGGUAUAAGAUGGGCAUGCGUCCUAUUAGCUAGAUGGUAAGGUAACGGCUUACCAUGGCUACGAUAGGUAGGGGGCCUGAGAGGGUGAUCCCCCACACUGGUACUGAGACACGGACCAGACUCCUACGGGAGGCAGCAGUGAGGAAUAUUGGGCAAUGGGCGCAAGCCUGACCCAGCCAUGCCGCGUGCAGGAAGAAUGCCCUAUGGGUUGUAAACUGCUUUUAUUUAGGAAUAAACCCCUUUACGUGUAGAGGGCUGAAUGUACUAAACGAAUAAGCACCGGCUAACUCCGUG
rnacentral:rRNA from 1 species